rnacentral:rRNA from 1 species
CUAGUGGGGAUCGGCCCCCGCGGUGCAUUAGCUAGUUGGUAAGGUAAAGGCUUACCAAGGCGAUGAUGCAUAGCCCGAGUUGAGAGACUGAUCGGCCACAUUGGGACUGAGACACGGCCCAAAAACUCCUACGGGAGGCAGCAGUAGGGAAUCUUCCACAAUGGACGCAAGUCUGAUGGAGCAACGCCGCGUGAGUGAAGUAAGGUUUUCGGAUCGUAAAGCUCUGUUGUUGGUGAAGAAGGAUAGAGGUAGUAACUCGGUCCUUUAUUUGACGGUAAUCAACCAGAAAGUCACGGCUAACUACGUGCCCAGCAGCCGCGGGUAAU